CUAUAAACCCGACUUAGUGAAAAACCCGCAAUCCCGGUUUUUCAUCGGGAGCGGAUUUGAAACGAGGGCGGGACAGUUG
rnacentral:sRNA from 1 species